UUUGGCAAAGGCUGCUGCCAC
rnacentral:siRNA from 1 species